ACCCUCUAAGGGUCAUACCUGGAGAGUUCCCAGUAAUCUACCAGUCUUGACUUUGGGAGGGACAGUCAAGCAGAGGCCUGCCCAUUCCAUUCCUAGCUUGGGCAGUGGCUAGCCAGUGGAAGGCAAUCUGCUACAAGU
rnacentral:snoRNA from 1 species